AUUGAACGCUAGCGGGAUGCCUUACACAUGCCAGUCGAACGGUGUGGCGAACGGGUGAGUAAUGUAUCGGAACGUGCCCAGUAGCGGGGGAUAACUACGCGAAAGCGUAGCUAAUACCGCAUACUAUUGGAGCGGCCGAUAUCGGAUUGGCUAUUUGGUGGGGUAACGGCUCGGCAAGGCGACGAUCCGUAGCUGGUUUGAGAGGACGACCAGCAACACUGGGACUGAGACACGGCCCAGACUCCUACGGGAGGCAUCAUGGGGGAAUUUUGGACAAGGGGGGAAACCCUGCUCCAGCCAUCCCGAGUGUGCGAUGAAGGCCUUCGGGUUGUAAAGCACUUUUGGCAGGAAAGCGGUACCUGCAGAAUAAGCACCGGCUAACUACGUGCCAGCAGCCGCGGUAAUAC
rnacentral:rRNA from 1 species